UGAGGAGUCUGCUCAGACUGAGACGGGCGACGGAGGGCGAGCUGUAGUCACUCCUGAUUGGAUUACCCCACCAAUAGACGACUAAUUGGUACCACUGGAGUACCCACAUCUGACCCCGGACCUCUCUCUCCCUGUGAUGCUAGUUGGUUUUCCUGUCCUGGAGGCCCCUGCACACUGCCCAGAAGGGAGUGAAUGUGUCAGAGACCCCUUGUGUGACUCAAGUGCUCUAUUUGUAGACUACCGUAAAGACUGUGGUGCUUAUAGACAUGUUAGGCCUCACUCCCCCCUAUCUGAGAUAUCUACUGCAGCCCUCAUCCUCCACAUACAACACCCGUUCCUGCCAGUCACAUUCUGUUAAAGAUCCCCAAAGCACACACAUCCCUGGGUCGCUUCUCUUUUCAGUUCCCUGCAGCUAACGACUGGAACGAGCUGCAACAAACACUCAAACUGGACAGUUUUAUCUCAAUCUCUUCAUUCAAAGACUCAAUCAUGGACACUUACUGGCAGUUGUGGCUGCUUUGUGUGAUGUAUUGUUGUUUCUACCUUCUUGCCCUUUGUGCUGUUGUCUGUAACCAAUAAUGUUUGUACCAUGUUUUAUGCUGCUACCAUGUUGGGUUGUCAUGUGUUGCUGCCUUGCUAUGUCGUCGUCUUAGGUCUCUCUUUGUGUAGUGUUGUGUUGUCUCUCUUGUUGUGAUGUGUGUUUUGUCCUACAUUUAUAUUGUACUUGUUUUAUUUUUUUAAUCCCAGGCCCCCGUCCCUGCAGGAGGCCUUUUGCCUUUUGGUAGGCUGUCAUUAUAAAUAAGAAUUUGUUCUUAACUGACUUGCCUAGUUAAAUAAGGUUAAAUAAAAUACAAUUUAAAAAAGCAUGGUGGCUAGGAAAAACUCCCUAGAAAGGCUGGAACCUAGGGAGAAAUGUAAAGAGGAACCAGGCUCUGAGGGGUGACCAGUCCUCUUCUGGCUGUGCCGGGUGGAGAUUAUAACAGUACUCAUUAUAGAUUAGUAUAUCAGAGAAAAUCUUACAAAAAUCUUAACAGGCCCUUGAUCAUUUGGUCAUGUGCUGCAAAUAAAUAUCUAGUUAAGCUGCAACUGGCCCAAAACAGAGUGGCACGUCUUGCUCUUCAUUGUAAUCAGAGGGCUGAUAUUAAUACUAUGCAUGCUGGUCUCUUGGCUAAGAGUUGAGGAGAAACUGACUGCAUCACUUCUUCUUUUUAUAAGAAACAUUAAUGUUUUGAAAAUCCCAAACUGUUUGCAUAGUCAAUUUACACAGCUCUGACACACACACUUACCCCACCAGACACGCAACCAGGGGUCUUUUCACAGUCCCCAAUUCCAGAACAAAUUCAAGAAAGUGUACAGUAUUAUAUAGAGCCAUUGAAUGGAACUCCCUUCCAUCUCUUAUUGCUCAAAUAAACAGCAAACUUGGUUUCAAAAAACAGAUAAAGCAGCACCUCACGGCACAACAUCUCCCUAUUUGACCUAGAUAUUGUGUGUAUGUAUUGAUAUGUAGGCUGUGUGCCAUUUUAAAUGUAUGUAGUUAUGUCCUUGAGCUGUUCUUGUCUAUUAAUAUUCUGUAUUAUGUAAUGUUUCAUGUUUUGUGUGGACCCCAGGUAAAGUAGCUGCUGCUUUACUUUGUCUACAUACUCAUCUCAUAUGUAUAUACUGUACUCGAUACCAUCUACUGUAUGCUGCUCUGUACCAUCACUCACUCAUAUAUCCUUAUGUACAUAUUCUUUAUCCCCUUACACUGUGUAUAAGACAGUAGUUUUAGAAUUGUUAGUUAGAUUACUUGUUGGUUAUCACUGCAUUGUCGGAACUAGAAGCACAAGCAUUUCGCUACACUCGCAUUAACAUCUGCUAACCAUGUGUAUGUGACAAAUAAAAUGUGAUUUGAUUUGAUUUGCUUUCGCAACAGCUAAUGGGGAUCCCAAUAAAAUACCAAAAUACCAUGA